rnacentral:rRNA from 1 species
GACGAACGCUGGCGGCGUGCUUAACACAUGCAAGUCGAACGGACGAGUGAGAUAAGUUUACUUAACUCACAAGUUAGUGGCGGACGGGUGAGUAACACGUGGAUAAUCUACCCUGCAACACCGGGAUAACGCUGUGAAAACGGUGCUAAUACCGGAUACGUUCCCUUGUGCGCAUGUAUGAGGGAAGAAAGCUCAGGCGGUUGCAGAUGAGUCCGCGGCUGAUUAGCUAGUUGGUGAGGUAAAGGCUCACCAAGGCGAUGAUCAGUAGCCGGCCUGAGAGGGUGAACGGCCACACUGGGACUGAGACACGGCCCAGACUCCUACGGGAGGCAGCAGUGGGGAAUCUUCCGCAAUGGGCGCAAGCCUGACGGAGCAACGCCGCGUGGGUGAAGAAGGCCUUCGGGUUGUAAAGCCCUGUCUUAUGGGAAGAAGUCAGUGACGGUACCAUAGGAGGAAGCCACGGCUAACUACGUG